rnacentral:rRNA from 1 species
UCGCGUCCUAUCAGCUUGUUGGUGGGGUAACGGCCUACCAAGGCGUUGACGGGUAGCCGGCCUGAGAGGGCGACCGGCCACAUUGGGACUGAGAUACGGCCCAGACUCCUACGGGAGGCAGCACUGGGGAUUAUUGCACAAUGGGCGCAAGCCUGAUGCAGCGACGCCGCGUGCGGGAUGGAGGCCUUCGGGUUGUAAACCGCUUUUGUUCAAGGGCAAGGCAGGCUUUCGGGCCUGUUGAGUGGAUUGUUCGAAUAAGCACCGGCUAACUACGUGCCAGCAGCCGCGGUAAUACGUAGGGUGCAAGCGUUAUCCGGAUUUAUUGGGCGUAAAGGGCUCGUAGGCGGUUCGUCGCGUCCGGUGAGAAAGUCCAUCGCUUAACGGUGGAUCCGCGCCGGGUACGGGCGGGCUUGAGUGCGGUAGGGGAGACUGGAAUUCCCGGGGUAACGGUGG